GACGAACGCUGGCGGCGUGCUUAACACAUGCAAGUCGAACGGAAAGGCCCUGCUUUUGUGGGGUGCUCGAGUGGCGAACGGGUGAGUAACACGUGAGUAACCUGCCCUUGACUUUGGGAUAACUUCAGGAAACUGGGGCUAAUACCGGAUAGGAGCUCUUGCUGCAUGGUGGGGGUUGGAAAGUUUCGGCGGUUGGGGAUGGACUCGCGGCUUAUCAGCUUGUUGGUGGGGUAGUGGCUUACCAAGGCUUUGACGGGUAGCCGGCCUGAGAGGGUGACCGGCCACAUUAGGCCUGAGCUACGGCCCAGACUCGAACGGGAGGCAGCGGUGGGGAAUAUUGCACAAUGGGCUGAAGCCUGAUGCAGCAACGCAGCGUGCGGGAUGAGAGCCUUCGGGUUGUGAACCGAUGUCGCCUGAGCCGAAGCGUGAGUGACGGUAAUGGGUAAAGAAGCACCGGCUAACUACGUG
rnacentral:rRNA from 1 species